rnacentral:tRNA from 1 species
GGUGGGGUACCGAAGUGGCCAACCGGGACAGACUGUAAAUCUGUUGUCAUAUGACUUCGUAGGUUCGAAUCCUACCCCCACCA